CCAAUUAAAACAUUUGGAUUAAUACACCUAAGAUUUGUUUUCUUCCACAUCAUUCUUUUAUUUACUCUCUCCCUCUAAACAAAGAUAUGCUCUAUGAUUCUGCUGGUACAAUUCUUUUGUUUUCGUUGGUUGGUAGAUCUUGAUGAAUUAAUGUUGUUUAUGUCUGAUUAAUAUUAGGGUUAUAUGAAUUGGGAAUUAGAAAAUUAGGGUUCUUUGUUGUUUGGAUUUUAUUCGGAAGAAUGGGUUUGACGAAUUUCAUAGCGACAAUGGUUGGAGUAGGCGCUGUGGUGUUGCUAUUUAAGGGCGACGUCAAGCAAACUGACACCGUCGUUAGGCGUAACAUCAAGCACAUCCGUCACUGGCUCGAAGAAGAAUCCUCUGCCGCCUCCAAGUCGUGAUUCUUCUCUCUCUUGAUUCCUUAUGAUUUCUCCUUUGCGAAGGGCAGCUAAGGCCAUAAAACCAAAGGAAAUAGAGACAAAGGUUCCGAAGAAGGACAUUCCAAAAGGGAAGGAUUAAGUGUGCCACUAUAUAUAAUGGUUCUUUGGAUUGAAGUGGUAGAAUUGAAGAAUUUCUUUGAAAGAAUUUUGACUUAAGUAUUAUCUUAAUUGAAUCUGAUAUGUUUCUGAUUUGGUAUUUUGUUUGCAUCGACGAGGAGAGUUCCAGGGAUGUUGCAGGACAACAGUUGGCUCUUGUUUUAAACUCCCUGCUGAUGCAGAGGACAACAGUUGGCUCUUGCGUUCAUUCUGUGUGCUCGCUUCUGGUGCAGAGGUAAAAAGAGCUCUUUCAUACUCUCUUUUUUUGUUUGUAAAUGACAGAGAAAGAAAGAAACUUAAGUUGAUUUUAUGGCUUGUAUGUUUCAGUUAACAAUGGGUUGUAGGUUUCUGUUUCUUCAAUCUGUUACUCUUGUUCUUAUUUCAGUUUCUGUUUGUGUUUCUAAUGACUUGAAUGUUGUUGUUUCA